UCUUCUUUUCUCCCGCACUGUAUCAGUUUUUUUGGUUCAGAUCUGACGUUUUCUAGGGAGACGGUAAAUCCGGCGGCCAUAAGGCGGAGGGAGGCAGUGGGUUGCUCGGAGAAGAGACAAAUCAUAUGUUCAUCAAUAUACAAACAGUUGCAACUACAUGAUCCAUUACUUCCUUUAACUUAAAGCAAUUAACAGAAAGAGGGGUUUGAGGAGAGAAGAGGUCUGAAAUUUAAAAAAAA
rnacentral:lncRNA from 1 species